rnacentral:lncRNA from 10 species
CAUUCUUGAAGUCAGUGAGACCAAGAGCCCACCAAUUCCAGACACAUGUUGACUGAUGUCUCAUGUCUCCCUAAAAUGUAUAAAACCAAGCUGUGCCCCUACCACCUUAGGCACAUGUUGUCAGGACCUCCUGAGGCUGUCAUGGGCACAUGUCCUCAACCUUGGCAAGAUAAACUUUCUAAAUUAACUGAGACUUGUCUCAGACUUUGGGGGUUCAUAUUUUGGCAACCACGAAGGGAUUAUAUGUGGAGAUGCCCCUGACCUUAGGCAAAUCUCCUAUCAGUGCUUGGUACCAGCCUGAGCUAACUUUAUGGCUCAAACCAAUAGGACAAUUUGUUGAGGUCUGGAAGCACUCCCUCCAGAGAAUCCCCAAAAUUUGCUUGAGAUCAAAAGUUUAUUUUGCUAUACAACUCCUUUUUUUUUUUUUUUUUUUUUUUUUGGAGUUUUCCUUGCUUCCAACAAGGAAGGUAGGAUUUCCUGUUUCCAUGACAAUGGAAGGCAGGUAACUGCCUUAUAGAGUUUGAGCUCACUCCCAGCAAGGAAGAUGAGUUUGAGGGUUUUUUUCCUGCUUCUAGGAUGGUAGAAAGCAGUCUUCAGCCUGAGACCCAUUCCUAGGUGCUCUUGAGUACAAGUUUCUGAUAACUUUGGAGAUUGUGACAUCAGAAUAGAGGAAAAACUUUUAGGACUCAUGGAGAAGUGAAAUGUUCAUGAACAUCAGGCAGAACAGGAAUUAACUGCAUGGACAGAACUAAUACAAAACUGAGGUAAUCUUUUUGACUUUUUGCUUAAAAUGCUGCUGAUCCUUUGUUUCGUUUUUCCAGAGUCAGGAAACUUCUUUUGCACUAUUGACAGCUUUUAACAAUUUAGUAUACUCCUAUGAACAAAAUUUAAAAUAUAUUUGUUUCUCUCUACCUGAUUUCUCCAGAAUUUGGAAACUAUUUGUGAAUAUUCUUAACUUAUGGCAACACAGUUAUUUGCAUAAGUGCAAUAAGAAUCUGUUUUCAGACACAAUUGGAGAAACUGGUUAUUUUGCCAAGGCUUUGACUGGAAUGGUGUGCUUUCCUUUAAAAAACCAAACUUGACUUAUGGAGCCAAUAAAAGCCCCUUGGAAAUACUGGCCUCAUACCUAGUCUACACAGUUCCUGUACAGGGUUCCUGACCUGUGGUAAGUGAAGCAUGUCACUUUCUGACAGGCCCAGGAACCCCAAGUUUAUAUUGGAACCUCAAGAGGAGAGGAAUUCACCCAACUCAUAGGUAUUUGAUGGUACAAAUCCAUGGCUGAGCUUGGCUUUUAAAAAGUCUUAUCCGAGAUUCCUUCUAUGGAACAAAUUUCCAUCAAAGCCAAUUUAAAAGCCUAUGUAAAAAAAUAAUUAUUCUUGCUGCACUUUAUAGAAAUAAUCAUGCCAAGUAUAACAAAGCAAAUCGGUCCUACCAUGAUUUCUCUUUAGUAGAAAUGGGAAACUGCAGAGAGAAAAAUUACGUUUCAGAAACUAUAGUACACCUGUUGUUAGACUCUAGCCUUGCCUAAUGUUUUUCAAUUGUUAUUAUUUUUUACAGUUUGGACUGAAUUCUAAUUUUUCUUGGCUACAAGUCUUCAAAAUAAUGUUUUCAAGUUUUUUCCUUCUUUUUUUCCCCCAUUUUUCCUAAUUUGGAGUCACUGAAAACUAAGCUGUGCUUUUGUAAACCCUGCAAACUGAAGCCAGACAACUUAAACUUUAGAAGAAAAUAACAGCAACCUGCUUACAUACAUAAGGCACUUUCAUCCCUGCCUACUGAUAUAUAAACUUCAGAGUAAUGUGGCCUAUAUCGAUUUUCCAGGAUUGUUCUUUUGUUUGUUGUUGUUUUUAUCCCUUCCUCCCCCAUUUUCUCUUCAUAGGACAUGAGACUUCACAACCUGCUAAAAAUGAACUUUCCUAAUAACUGGGGACCUACCCGUCUAGGAAUAAACCAUCCUAGCCAUGACAGAUCAGAUGAAACCUGAGACCAGAGACUCAUUUUCUCCUAAAAUGCUUUCUCCAAAAGAUUUUUAAAAAGAAAAGGGGGAAAAUAUGAAUGGAAAAUAAAUCUUGGGGCCCCAACAUCACUAAGCUAAAGGGAAAAGUCAAGCUGGGAACUGCUUAGGGCCAACCUGCCUCCCAUUCUAUUCAAAGUCACCUCUCUGCUCACUGAGAUAAGUGUAUAUCUGACUGCCUCAUUUGGAGAGGCUAAUCAGAAACUCAAAAGAAUGCAACCAUUUGUCUCUUAUCUACCUAUGACCUGGAAACCCCCUCCGCACUUUGAGUUGUCCCACCUGUGAAAGGAAAAUAAAUCUUGGGGCCCCCAAAUCACUAAGCUAAAGGGAAAAGUCAAGCUGAGAACUGCUUAGGGCCAACCAUCCUCUCAUUCUAUUCACAGUCACCCCUCUGCUCACUGAGAUAGAUGCUAUCUGAUUGCCUCCUUUGGAAAGGCUAAGCAGAAACUCAAAAGAAUGCAACUUUCCAUCUCUCACCUAUCUGUGACCUGGAAGCCCAGUCCCUGCUUUGAGUCUUCCUGCCUUUGCUUCAAGCUGUCCCGCCUUUCCAGACCAAACCAAUGUACUUCUUACAUAUAUUGAUGUCUCAUGUCUCAUGUCUCCCUAAAAUGUAUAAAACUAAACUGUGCCCCUACCACCUUGGGCACAUGUCGUCAGGACUUCCUGAGGCUGUGUCAUGGGCACAUCCUCUACCCUGGCAAAAUAAACUUUCUAAAUUAACUGGGACCUACCUCAAAUUAUCUGGGUUCACACGCCUUUGCCUCGAGUUGUCCCACCUUUCCGGACUGAACCAAUGUACAUCUUAACACAUACUGAUUGAUGUCUAAUGUCUCUCUAAAAUGUAUAAAACCAAGCUGUGCUCUGACCACCUUAGGCACUUGUCAUCAGGAUCUCCUGAGGCCAUAUUAUGGGUGCACGUCCUCAACCUUGGCAAAAUAAGCUUUCUAAAUUAACUGAGACGUGUCUCAGAUUUUCGGGAUUCACAAUCUCCACUCUUCACCAAACCUACAAUAAAAAACCCUCAGCUUCUCAGCUUUAACUGUUUCUUCGGGUCUUCAUUUUCUUAUGAAGGUUCAUGUGUCACAUAAAACUUUAAAAAAUUUGUACACUUUUCUCUCAUUAAUCUGUCUUCUGUUAUAGGGCCUCAGCCAUGAACUUGGAAUGGGUAGAUUAAAAAAAAUAUUUUUCCUCCCCUACACAUUUUUUUUUUUUUUUUUGAGACGGAGUCUCAGUCUGUUGACCAGGCUCAAGUGCAAUGGCGUGGUCUUGGCUCACUGCAACCUCUGCCUCCCAGUUUAAGCAAUUAUCCUGCCUCAGCCUCCUGACUAGCUGGGACUACAGGCGCGUGCCACCACACCUGGCUAAUUUUUUUGUAUUUUUAGUAGAGAUCGGGUUUCAUCAUGUUGGCCAGGCUGGUCUUGAACUCCUGACCUCAUGAUCCGCCCGCCUCGGCCUCGCAAAGUGCUGAGAUUACAGGCGUGAGCCACCACACCUGGCCCUCCCCUACACAUUUCUAAGUAUCUUACCUGAUUUUCUAUGGCACCUUUGGGUUGCAGAACCUUAGCUGUAGGAGAAAUGGUGGUGACGGCCAAUGUCUGGCACUGACUUUAACAGAGUACAGAUGUGUAUGUAAAUAGUACUUAUUUUAACAAAAUAGAAAGUUCAAGAAAGAAAUACAGCAACAAAAGUGACAAUUAGAUUGGAAGAGACCCAUUCUUGUUUGCUUGUUUUCUCCAUAAGCCAUCUAGCUUUUUUUUUUUUUUUUGUGAGACGGUCUCACUGUCUCCCAGGCUGGAGUGCAGUGGUGCCAUCACAGCUCACCUCAGCCUUGACCUCCCAGGCUCAAGUGAUCCUCCCACCUUAGCCUCUCAAGUAGCUGGAAGUAUAGGCAUGUACCACCAUGCCCAGCUAAUUUUUUUUUAUUUUUCAUGGAGACAGGGUCUCACUAUAUUGCCCAAGCCAGUCUUGAAUUCCUGGGCUGAAGCGAUCCUCCUGCCUCAGCCUCCCAAAAUGUUGGGAUUAUAGUCAUGAGCUACCAUGCCCAGCCCUAACUCCAUUCUUAAUUGUCACUUAGCCUACACUUUCACUUCAUUGACAUUUAUAGGCUGACAACAAGCAGAUGAAGAUACCAUUGAAACAGUGCCACCACUCACCCAACUGUCCUGUCAGUCAGGAAAAGCACAUCCCCACUGGGUCUCAGAGCUCUCGGCCCGUUGUCUUUGCACUGUGUGACCACACACAAAACCAGGUAAAGUAUUUACCUGCUUUGUUCAGGAGGCUGUCCUUGGCUCUCUAGUUUCUGAUAGGACCCCAUUUUAAACUCUCAAGCCCCCUUGUCCUUGUUCUUUGAUAGUGUCAUAGCCUCUAAACAUAUCACAAUUAUUAAUAUAAUUAAAUACUUAUUUCCCUAUAGAUUUGUUUAAAGCCUGCCUUCCCCCAAGAGAUGGUCAGGUCUGAAGGCAGGUUUGUUACAGAUGACAGGCUCUUGGGCUCAUCAUGUAAUAAAAGUUAACAUGGGGACAAGCAGAUUUCCAGAAAAGGCUUUUAUCUUGGGGCUUGUGCUCGAGUGCAGGGGAGACACCAGAGGUACAAGGACCCUCAAGCUGACUCCCUGAAAAGGUGGUAGGGAUUUUUUUUAUUAGGCAAACACAGGAAUUGGUAUCAUGGGUAGGGUAUGCAGGCUGGCCUGGGCAAAGCACGUGACGGGUAGGGGAUGCUGGUUAGCGUAUCUAGUUGUGAUGGUUAUCUUGAGUAAUGGGCCACCUGGGGGUCUGGCCAGCUGUAACAAGGCUGCAAAUCAAUUGUUCAGGGUUCCUUCCCUUCCCAUGAUGGGACAUUCUGAAACCUCGGUUUGAUGUUUAGAUUUCCUAAGGCCAGUUCCUGGAAUUCUUUUAAGUAAAAGGCAUGAUUAAACAUUAUGAGAGCACAGAAGAAUGGCUAUUUUCUUUGUAAGCCUGAAGCCUUAUCUAAAACCAAUUGUCAGCAAGGCAGGGGUGUGGGUCUUGUGAUCAGUGAGACAAGAAGAAAAAAAAAAACGUGAAAAAGGAACUGAGUUCCUUUUCUAUUCUAUCUGAGGUUACUCCCCACUGCACCCCCGGCACCUGACAUUGUGAGAGGCAUUUGAACCAGAGUGACUCCAUCUUGAAUAGGGGCUGGGUAAAAUGAAUCUGAGACCUACUGGGCUGCAUUCCCAGGAGGUUAGGCAUUCUUAGUCACAGGAUGAGAUAGGAGGUUGGCAGGACUGGUAUCACAAGAUACAGGUCAUAAAAACUCUGACCAUAAAACAAGAUGUGGUAUAGAAGCCAGCCAAAACCAAGAUGGUGAGAAAAGUGACCUCUAGUCAUCCUCACUGCUCAUUAUACUCAAAUUAUAAUGCAUUAGCAUGCUUAAAGAAAUUUCCACUAGCACCAUGACAGCUUACAAAUGCCAUGGCAGUGUUCAGAAGUUACCCUAUAUAGUCUAAAAAGGGGAGGAACCCUCAGUUCCAGGAAUUCCCCACCCCUUUCCCAGAAAACUCAUGAAUGAUCUACCCUUUAUUUAGCAUAUGAUCAAGAAAUAACCAUAAGUAUACCCAGUCAGCAGCGCGUGCCGCUGCUGUGUCUAUGGAGUAGCCAUUCUUUUGUCUCUUUUACUUCUCUAAUAAACUUUAUUCUAUGAAUUUGCCCCCAAAUUCUUUCUUGCGCAAGAUCCAAGAACCCUCUUUUGGGGUCUGGACUGGGACCCCUAUCACCAUGCCUGGCUCAAGAAACAUUUGUUGAGUAAUGAUUUAUAGUGACUUUCUAUGUGCUCAUGUCUCACUCUUGUUCCAGUACCUGUAUGCUAAGCAGCCAUGCUACUGUCCUUCUGUGCUUCCCUACAUUCCAAGUUCAAGGGGACAGGAUGGUUUAUUGUUUCUUAAGUGCUUGUCUUUCUGGUCCUGUUUACAUGCAUCAUUAGCCCACAGGAAAGCACUCUGUUACAAAUGACUUUAGAAAUCACAAUCAUUAAAAUUGAAAACUUCCAUUUAAGCCAGACUACCCCUUUGUGAUGUUAAAAGUGUUGCCUCUGAGCUUCCAACCCCCUCUCUAUGAGGCCUAUUCCAGCUUUUAACCUACCGUGGGUGCGGGCUUUUCAUUUGGAGCCUCUUGUGAUCUUCAAGCUGUAAUUUUCGCAAGCAGGGCCCUAAAGCUCUUUAAUUUUUUUGUUUACCAGAAUUACUCAUUUCAUUUUUGUAUGUGCUUGGUAGAUGAAUUUUCUGUGGCAUCUUACAAAAUAAGGCCAUAAUACCUUAUGGCAUUAAAAAAAAGUUGGGGGGGGAGCAAAACCACCACAAAAAAAUUAACUGAACAAUUAAAAUAUUUAAAUUAGUAUUAGAAAGCUUAAAUGUAGGCAACAACUAAGUCAUCUCAAGCACAUUCAACAGGAAAAAGUAGAAAACAUACUAGAUAAGAACGUCAGAGAAUGGGGCAAGGACUGGGGGAGGUGAAGGAGGUGCAGAGCUGGAUCCUGUCUUUAUUUGAAAAUUUGAUUUUGUGUUCAAAUGUGAAUUAUUUCAUUUUGAUUUUUUUUUUUUUUUUUUUUGAGACGGAGUCUUGCUCUUGUCGCUCAGGCUGGAGUGCAAUGGUGCAAUCUCAGCUCACUGCAACCUCCGCCUCCCGGGCUCAAGCAAUUCUCCUGCUUCAUCCUCCCAAGUAGCUGGGAUUACAGGCACGGGCCACCAUGCC